UACGUAGGGGGCGAGCGUUGUCCGGAGUUACUGGGCGUAAAGGGCAUGCAGGCGGUCCGACACGUUUUGUGUGACAGCGGGUGGCUUAACUACCCGAGGAUACGAAAGACGGUAGGACUUGAGGACUCGAGAGGGACACGGAAUUCCGGGUGGAGUGGUGAAAUGCGUAGAGAUCCGGAGGAACACCGAAGGCGAAGGCAGUGUCCUGGCGAGUGACUGACGCUGAGGUGCGAAAGCUAGGGGAGCAAACAGG
rnacentral:rRNA from 1 species